rnacentral:rRNA from 1 species
AUACGGAGGAUGCAAGCGUUAUCCGAAUUUAUUGGGUUUAAAGGGUGCGUAGGCUGUUCGACAAGUCAGGGGUGAAAGCCCAGUGCCUAACACUGGAACUGCCUUUGAUACUGCCGAGCUGGAAUACGGAUGCCGUGGGAGGAAUGAGUAGUGUAGCGGUGAAAUGCAUAGAUAUUACUCAGAACACCGAUUGCGAAGGCAUCUCACGAAUCCGUCAUUGACGCUGAGGCACGAAAGCGUGGGGAUCAAACAGGAUUAGAUACCCUGGUAGUCCACGCAGUAAACGAUGAAUACUUGUUUUCGGCGAUAUAAUGUCGGAGGCAAAGCGAAAGCGAUAAGUAUUCCACCUGGGGAGUACGCCGGCAACGGUGAAACUCAAAUGAAUUGACGGGG